rnacentral:rRNA from 1 species
UACGUAGGUGGCAAGCGUUAUCCGGAAUUACUGGGCGUAAAGCGCACGCAGGCGGUCUUGUAAGUUUGACGUGAAAGCUCCCGGCUUAACUGGGAGAGGUCGUUGAAGACUGCAAGACUUGAGGAAAUGAGAGGGGUGUAGAAUUCCUGGUGUAGUAGUGGAAUGCGUAGAUAUCAGGAGGAAUACCAGUGGCGAAAGCGGCACCCUAGCAUUUUUCUGACGCUCAUGUGCGAAAGCGUGGGGAGCGAACGGG